AUUGAACGCUGGCGGCAUGCUUUACACAUGCAAGUCGAACGGUAACAGGCCUUCGGGUGCUGACGAGUGGCGAACGGGUGAGUAAUGCAUCGGAACGUACCCAGAGGUGGGGGAUAACGCAGCGAAAGCUGUGCUAAUACCGCAUGUGAUCUGAGGAUGAAAGCGGGGGACCGAGCAGCAAUGUUUGGCCUCGCGCCUUUGGAGCGGCCGAUGUCGGAUUGGCUAGUUGGUGGGGUAAAGGCCUACCAAGGCGACGAUCCGUAGCUGGUCUGGGAGGACGACAAGCCACACUGGGACUGAGACACGGCCCAGACUCCUACGGGAGGCAGCAGUGGGGAAUUUUGGACAAUGGGCGCAAGCCUGAUCCAGCAAUGCCGCGUGCGGGAAGAAGGCCUUCGGGUUGUAAACCGCUUUUGGCAGGAACGAAACGGUGUCCGCUAAUACCGGGCGCUAAUGACGGUACCUGCAGAAUAAGCACCGGCUAACUACGUG
rnacentral:rRNA from 1 species